GACGAACGCUGGCGGCGCGCUUAACACAUGCAAGUCGAGCGAGAACCAGGGCUUCGGCCCUGGGGAAAGCGGCGAACGGGUGAGUAACACGUGAGUAAUCCACCCUCGGUACCGGGAUAGCCCGGGGAAACCCGGAUUAAUACCGGAUGGCCCAGCAGCUCUUCGGGGCGGCUGGAAAAGGUAGCUUCGGCCUCCGACCGAGGACGAGCUGGCGGCGGAUUAGCUUGUUGGUGGGGUAACGGCCUACCAAGGCGACGAUCCGUAGCUGGUCUGAGAGGACGAUCAGCCACACUGGGACUGAGACACGGCCCAGACUCCUACGGGAGGCAGCAGUGGGGAAUCUUGCGCAAUGGGCGAAAGCCUGACGCAGCGACGCCGCGUGCGGGAAGAAGGCCUUCGGGUUGUAAACCGCUUUCAGGAGGGACGAAGCCACUCGGGUUAAUAGCCCAGAGGGUGACGGUACCUCCAGAAGAAGCCCCGGCUAACUACGUGCCAGCAGCCGCCGUAAAAC
rnacentral:rRNA from 1 species